rnacentral:rRNA from 1 species
CGAUGAGUUUGAUCUUGGCUCAGGACGAACGCUGGCGGCGUGCCUAAUACAUGCAAGUCGAGCGCGGGAAGCGAGCUGAUCCCUUCGGGGUGACGCUCGUGGAACGAGCGGCGGACGGGUGAGUAACACGUGGGCAACCUGCCUGUAAGAUCGGGAUAACUCCGGGAAACCGGGGCUAAUACCGGGUAAUACUUUCUUUCGCAUGAAGGAAAGUUGAAAGAUGGCUUCUCGCUAUCACUUACAGAUGGGCCCGCGGCGCAUUAGCUAGUUGGUGAGGUAACGGCUCACCAAGGCGACGAUGCGUAGCCGACCUGAGAGGGUGAUCGGCCACACUGGGACUGAGACACGGCCCAGACUCCUACGGGAGGCAGCAGUAGGGAAUCUUCCGCAAUGGACGAAAGUCUGACGGAGCAACGCCGCGUGAACGAUGAAGG